rnacentral:rRNA from 1 species
UAAGUAAGUAAGAUCCCUGAAAGAUGAUCAGGUAGAUAGGAUGGAAGUGGAAGUGCUGCGAGGCAUGGAGCGGACCAUUACUAAUCGAUCGAGGACUUAACCAAG